CAUAUGAGCGAGGAAUGAAUUGCGACUUUUCUGCUGUAAUGUUGUUCUCGUGUUUUAUAGUUGUAAUAAUUUUUUACGUAAAAACAAAAGACGAAUAACAUUAACAUGUUAAACAUUCAUAAACAUUAUUAAUGAAAGAGAUAUGACGUUUUUGUUUUGCGAUUUGUAAAUAAAUUGUUAAUUUGUUUUGUAAUUAUAAAAAGUAACGAGAAAUGUACAAAAAUAAAGAAAAUGAGAGAUAUGGAGCAAAGGAAGAAAGAAUGUAAAAGAAAAAAGAAUGAAAAGAAAGGGAAAAGAAGAAAUUAUUGGCAUAACAAUAUGCAUCGAAUAAGUUUAUCCAAUUAUACGUACAGUAUUUCGAAGCAAUCUCCCGGAAUUUAUUCGAAAUGAAAUACUAGGGACUCAAAAAAGUACUGAUCCAGCCAAAGAAAAUGUUAACUAAUGGAAAAAUAUAAAGUCUACUUUCGACGAUUCUAUCAUCUAUGUUAAAAAUAUGACAUUAUAGCAGGUAGUACUAAUAAAAUACGUAUUAACCCUUUGCAUUCGAUUAAUUUUUGCGGCAACUCGAGCGAUGAUUUUUCGGUCACUAUUCGAUUUGACGUGAUAUGUUGAACGACGGCGAUGUUUAUUUUCUUUAAAAUUCGAAGCAUUGUACAAUUUAUAACCUUCCGAAAUGUAAAAUGAUAUAUCUUUAUGUAGUGAUAAUUUCUUAUUUUGCCUUUCUCCGGAGACUCCUCCAGUUGCAUCUCUUUGCAUCAGUUUGAGUUUGACAGUUAUAGCUAUAAGAAUAUUAUCUUUAAAUUUUUUUAGCCCUGUAAGCUCAUACAGAAUAUGAUAAAGAAAUUAGUUCAAAUAGAGUUGAGUUUAAUUUUUUGUUGCUGAAAGUUCUUGAUGCUUAGGGACAUCAUGUGUUUGCAGACAGAUAUAUAAAUUAUACCUUAGUGGAAGAAUUACAGAAACUGAAAUAUCAUUUGAGAGGGAUGAUUCUAACAAAUAGGAAGAAUUUGUUAAAUCAUAUAAAAAAACAAAGAAUUGCAGCUAGGGAUCACUACAAUAUUGUAAACAUUAUUAUUAAGAUAUUGAAAUUUAUUCAUGGAAUACAAUGAUGCCAUAUUUAUAAUAGUUCGACAAUAUAUUAGAGUACAUAACUCGGAUACAAUGGAGAGCAUAUAAGAAUUAAAAAUAUAGUUAAUUAUAUUAUAUUAACUAGAAAUUUUGAAUAGACAAGGAUUUAAAACAGUUUUUAAUAAUUAAAGACAGUUACGAUAGAAAAUUGUGUUGAGUCACUGAUACGAUUCUUAAAGACUUCAGAAUGUAAUAUUUGACAUCUCUUAUGAUAAAAAGCAUGCAAAAGAUGAAUAAUUACAAUUGUAAUAAAUAUUUUUGAAGGAAAAAAUAUUUUUUUAUGUCAUCAUAAGAUACAAUCAACUAUAACAUUAAGGUAAGGGAUUAUGAAAUUAAAUGAUGUUAUAAAAAUAGGUUGCAAAAUUGAUAAAAUUUGAUGUAAUCUAGUGAAAUUAUCUUUAAUUAAAUUUA